rnacentral:rRNA from 1 species
CUACGGGACGCUGCAGUGGGGAAUAUUGCACAAUGGAGGGAACUCUGAUGCAGCAACGCCGCGUGGAGGAUGACACUUUUCGGAGCGUAAACUCCUUUUAUAUAGGAAGAAGAUGACGGUACUAUAUGAAUAAGCGCCGGCUAACUCCGUGCCAGCAGCCGCGGUAAUACGGGGGGCGCAAGCGUUACUCGGAAUCACUGGGCGUAAAGAGCGUGUAGGCGGAUUAAAAAGUCAGAAGUGAAAUCCUAUAGCUUAACUAUAGAACUGCUUCUGAAACUCUUAAUCUAGAAUAUGGGAGAGGUAGAUGGAAUUUCUGGUGUAGGGGUAAAAUCCGUAGAGAUCAGAAGGAAUACCGAUUGCGAAGGCGAUCUACUAGAACAUUAUUGACGCUGAGACGCGAAAGCGUGGGGAGCAAACAGGAUUAGAUACCCUGGUAGUC